rnacentral:SRP_RNA from 1 species
GCUGGGAGCGGUGGCGUGUGCCUCUAGUCCCAGCUACUUGGGAGGCUGAGGCUGGAGGAUCUCUUGAGCCCAGGAGUUCUGGGCUGUAGUGCACUGUGCCAAUCGGGUGUCCGCACUAAGUUUGGCAUCAAUAUGGUGACCUCCCUGGUGUGGGGGACCACCAGGUUGCCUAAGGAGGGGUGAACCAGCCCAGGUCGGAAAUGGAGCAGGUCAAAAUUCCCGUGCUGAUCAGUAGUGGGAUCGCGCCUAUGAAUAGCCACUGCGCUCCAGCCUGGGCAACAUAGCAAGUCCCCAUCUCU